GUGUGUGUGUGUGUGUGUGUGUGUGCGUUUGUCAAAGUGACAUAUGGGGACAUUUUUAUGAAAUUUCACCUUACAUAUGAGGACCUGUUGAAAUAUGGGGACAUUUUCCAUGUCCCCAUAUUUCCCGCAAUGCUAUCGUGUUCUAGACCCUCCCAGCAUGUUCCCAGACCAAAAAUCUCUAAAGUCUUCAUUUGUCAAAUUUUCAGAAAAAGUGUGUGAAAGUGUGUUUAAUUUUUUUGGUCACCUUCGAUUUUGCCCCUAGUGGCCAUCUUUGCUAUUAUGACACACACACACACACACUUGUCCUCAUAUGUCAUAUGUCCUCAUAUGUCAUGUGGGUCAGAAACUCACACACUCCGACAUUUUGAAAAACAUCUAACCAUUACAGCAAUAAACAUACUCUUGAAUUCUGAAUCAAAUAACAACACAUUUUCAACUGAUCUGAUGAUCUCAUCCUUUUUAGUGUUAGUUUUAUCUAUUAAUUUGGUUUAUCUGGAGAUGAUUUGGGCUAGACAAUUAGUAAUAAAGGGAUUAUGGUGAUGAUUUAAUUUGUUUGAUUCAGUAUUUUACUGUAUUGGACUUUUUGCUAUUCUGUUGACUAAAAUACAAUGCCGCACAAUAAUUGCUUUAAAUGUGCCUGAAAUGUAGGUUUUUGCAUAAAAAAAAACAACCUUCAACCUUGAUUGAGACAAAGGCAAUAAUUCAAAUGCAAUUCAAACUACACACAGUAUUUAAUAUUUUCAAAUGGUUACAAUAGCACAUUAUUUGGGUAUUUUUAUCUUUGGGGCAAAUUUAGGAUUAAUAUGGGGAUUGUUUUUGGAGGUAUUCACUUUACAUGGUGUUCAAGAUGGUUACUUCCGCCCACUCUGAAGAGUCUCGGCGUCUGAUUGGUCCAAUUUUCAGUUAGGCGCCGCCUGAUUGGCCGCUGGACGAUGUCUGCUCCUAACAGAGGGCUAAAUCACUAGUUAACUAUUUUCAUCAUGGAAAUUAUACAGCUCACGUAUCACACUUAAUAUUGAAUAUAUAUAAAAAGGGUUUUCCAAAAGGACCAUUUAUAAUCGAAAUACAAAACUUCACACACGAUUUUGAGCACAACAGAGCGCUCAGUGAACAGCACUUCCGGGACCUGCAUCACCGGAGGGGGACAUCUAUCUUGGCCACAAACCAUCUUUGACAGUCUUCGGCAGCAUGGUUGAAUCAGGCGCAUCAACACAUGAUAUAGACAUCGUGUCCAAAAGAAGAGCGAGACGUAAUCCUGAGGCUGAAGCUACCGAGUUUAUUUGAUCUGGAUGUGACAAGUCUUGUUUUAAGGCCCAGUGGAUCAAUGAUUGGAAAGACACCAACUGUUGAUGUUCUAUCUCAACAUUCUCCAGACUCAUGUGACCGAUAAACCGACUUCAUCCCUCCAACAGACACCAACUGUUGGGGUUCUAUCUCAACAUUCUCCAGAUUCAGAUGUGAGCGAUAAACCGACUUCAUCCCUCCAACAGACACCAACUGUUGGGGUUCUAUCUCAACAUUCUCCAGAUUCAGAUGUGAGCGAUAAACCGACUUCAUCCCUCCAACAGAAACCAACUGUUGAGGUUCCAUCUCAACAUUCUCCAGAUUCAGAUGUGAGCCAUUAACUGACUUCAUCCCUCCAACAGAAACCAACUGUUGAGGUUCUAUUUCAACAUUCUCUAGAUUCAGAUGACAGCCAUAAACCGACUUCAUCCCUCCAACAGAUUGACAGCAGGACAAAUCGCUGGAAGUAGGUAUGUCUCAAGCUUCUUCCACUUGGUCCACUCCAAAGCGGGCUGCAAAGGGGAAGAAGUGGAAGCAGUUGAAUGACACAUGUUGCAUUUUGUAACUGGCAACAAAGUACCAGGUAAAAAAGAUUGUGAAGCCUGCCUCCAUAAAGAACUAGUAGCUCUACAGGACAGAGAUUGGCUUGCCAUCAAGUACUACAUCCAUAACAGAAUUAUAUUAAAAAAAGGGGAAAAAAAUGUUUUCCCACAUCUUCUGUGGUAGUUUGAGUAUGUUACCAGCAAUUAAAAAAGCAAAAUAAA